GCUGUGGUGGAUCAGUAGUAGAAUUCUCACCUUCCAUGUGGGAGGCUGGGGUUUGAUUCCCAGCCACUGCA
rnacentral:tRNA from 1 species